UGGGGUGUAGCUCAGUAGUGAGCACUUGCCUAGCAUGCACAAGGCCUGGGUUCAAUCCCUAGCACUGCAA
rnacentral:tRNA from 1 species